rnacentral:snRNA from 1 species
GUGCUCGCUUCGGCAGCACAUAUACUAAAAUUGGAAUGAUACAGAGAUCAGCAUGGCCCCUGGGCCAGGAUGACAUGCAAAUUCAUGAAGCGUUCCAUAUUUGU